GAUGAACGCUGGCGGCGUGCCUAAUACAUGCAAGUCGAGCGAACAGACGAGGAGCUUGCUCCUCUGACGUUAGCGGCGGACGGGUGAGUAACACGUGGAUAACCUACCUAUAAGACUGGGAUAACUUCGGGAAACCGGAGCUAAUACCGGAUAAUAUAUUGAACCGCAUGGUUCAAUAGUGAAAGACGGUUUUGCUGUCACUUAUAGAUGGAUCCGCGCCGCAUUAGCUAGUUGGUAAGGUAACGGCUUACCAAGGCAACGAUGCGUAGCCGACCUGAGAGGGUGAUCGGCCACACUGGAGCUGAGACACGGUCCAGACUCCUACGGGAGGCAGCAGUAGGGAAUCUUCCGAAAUGGGCGAAAGCCUGACGGAGCAACGCCGCGUGAGUGAUGAAGGUCUUCGGAUCGUAAAACUCUGUUAUUAGGGAAGAACAAAUGUGUAAGUAACUAUGCACGUCUUGACGGUACCUAAUCAGAAAGCCACGGCUAACUACGU
rnacentral:rRNA from 1 species